rnacentral:rRNA from 1 species
UACGUAGGGCGCAAGCGUUGUCCGGAAUUAUUGGGCGUAAAGAGCUCGUAGGCGGUUUAUCACGUCGGCUGUGAAAUCCCGAGGCUUAACCUCGGGCCUGCAGUCGAUACGGGUUGACUAGAGUGAAGCAGGGGAGACUGGAAUUCCUGGUGUAGCGGUGAAAUGCGCAGAUAUCAGGAGGAACACCGGUGGCGAAGGCGGGUCUCUGGGCCGAUACUGACGCUGAGGAGCGAAAGCGUGGGGAGCAAACAGG